GACGUAGGGCGCGAGCGUUGUCCGGAUUUAUUGGGCGUAAAGAGCUCGUAGGCGGUUUGUCGCGUCUGCUGUGAAAACUCGGGGCUUAACCCCGGGCCUGCAGUGGGUACGGGCAGACUAGAGUGCGGUAGGGGAGACUGGAAUUCCUGGUGUAGCGGUGAAAUGCGCAGAUAUCAGGAGGAACACCGGUGGCGAAGGCGGGUCUCUGGGCCGAUACUGACGCUGAGGAGCGAAAGCGUGGGGAGCGAACAGG
rnacentral:rRNA from 1 species